AGAUACCCUGGUAGUCCACGCCGUAAACGAUGUCGAUUUGGAGGUUGUGCCCUUGAGGCGUGGCUUCCGGAGCUAACGCGUUAAAUCGACCGCCUGGGGAGUACGGCCGCAAGGUUAAAACUCAAAUGAAUUGACGGGGGCCCGCACAAGCGGUGGAGCAUGUGGUUUAAUUCGAUGCAACGCGAAGAACCUUACCUGGUCUUGACAUCCACAGAACUUUCCAGAGAUGGAUUGGUGCCUUCGGGAACUGUGAGACAGGUGCUGCAUGGCUGUCGUCAGCUCGUGUUGUGAAAUGUUGGGUUAAGUCCCGCAACGAGCGCAACCCUUAUCCUUUGUUGCCAGCGAUUCGGUCGGGAACUCAAAGGAGACUGCCGGUGAUAAACCGGAGGAAGGUGGGGAUGACGUCAAGUCAUCAUGGCCCUUACGGCCAGGGCUACACACGUGCUACAAUGGCGCAUACAAAGAGAAGCGACCUCGCGAGAGCAAGCGGACCUCAUAAAGUGCGUCGUAGUCCGGAUUGGAGUCUGCAACUCGACUCCAUGAAGUCGGAAUCGCUAGUAAUCGUAGAUCAGAAUGCUACGGUGAAUACGUUCCCGGGCCUUGUACACACCGCCCGUCACACCAUGGGAGUGGGUUGCAAAAGAAGUAGGUAGCUUAACCUUCGGGAGGGCGCUUACCACUUUGUGAUUCAUGACUGGGGUGAAGUCGUAACAAGGUAACCAAU
rnacentral:rRNA from 1 species